CCGUCAUCGCCAAAACUCUCUCUUGCCGAACCAGAGGAUAACGUGUCAGCCGCUGAUCCAAACCAAUGGAACGUUAUCAGCCACCAGCGGUAGCGGCCACGGGCCGCACCCAAUCCACUCUCUUCCGGACUCCGGUCACUCUUCGGCAAGAAGAGGUAAGGGGUGAGCGAGUCACACGCGACGCAGUGCACGGUUUUAAGCGGACUUCCUUUCUUGUGGCGGGGACUACUUCUUCCUGCUUCCGCUCCUGCCCUCUUCCUCCUUCUCCGACGCCGAGGAAAGCGAGCCUUUCUCUCGGUCUCUCUCAGUUGCGGAUGGAUAGCUUCCUCUUCACUUCGGAGUCUGUCAACGAGGGCCACCCCGACAAGCUCUGCGACCAGGUCUCCGAUGCCAUACUUGAUGCCUGCUUGGAACAGGACCCUGAAAGCAAGGUCGCUUGUGAGACCUGCACCAAGACCAACAUGGUGAUGGUGUUUGGCGAGAUCACCACCAAGGCCCAGGUAAACUACGAGAAGAUUGUUCGUGACACUUGCCGAGGCAUCGGUUUCGUCACCGCCGACGUUGGCCUCGACGCCGACCGCUGCAAGGUCCUUGUUAACAUCGAGGAGCAGAGCCCCGACAUCGCCCAGGGAGUGCACGGGCACCUCACGAAGAAGCCCGAGGAGAUCGGCGCCGGCGACCAAGGCCACAUGUUCGGCUACGCCACGGACGAGACGCCGGAGCUGAUGCCCCUCACCCACGUCCUGGCCACCAAGCUCGGCGCCAAGCUCACGGAGGUGCGCAAGAACCAGACGUGUCAGUGGCGCCAAGACUCAGGUGACCGUCGAGUACCGGAACGAAGGCGGCGCGAUGGUGCCCGUGCGGGUGCACACCGUGCUCAUCUCCACCCAGCACGACGAGUCUGUGACCAACGAGCAGAUCGCCAUGGACCUGAAAGAGCAUGUCAUCAAGCCGGUCAUCCCCGCCAAGUACAUCGACGACAGGACCAUAUUCCACUUGAACCCGUCGGGUCGCUUCGUCAUCGGCGGGCCUCAAGGCGACGCAGGGCUGACCGGCAGGAAGAUCAUAAUCGACACCUACGGCGGCUGGGGAGCCCACGGCGGCGGCGCCUUCUCAGGGAAGGAUCCGACCAAGGUGGACCGCAGCGGCGCUUACAUCGCGAGGCAGGCCGCGAAGAGCGUGGUGGCUUCUGGACUUGCUCAGAGGUGCAUCGUUCAGAUUUCCUACGCCAUCGGCGUGCCGGAGCCGCUGUCGGUGUUCGUGGACAGUUACAGAACGGGGAAGAUACCUGACAAAGAGAUACUGGCGUUGAUCAAAGAAAGCUUCGAUUUCAGGCCGGGGAUGAUCGCGAUCAACCUCGACUUGAAGAGGGGCGGCAACUUGAGGUACCAGAAGACUGCAGCCUAUGGCCAUUUUGGCCGCGACGAUCCUGACUUCACAUGGGAGAAAGUCAAGGUUCUGAAAGCGAACUAAGGCUCGAGCCACCAAGCAUCAAUCUGAUGCUCGCAUUUCAACUCCACCAGUAUGGAUUCUUCCCAGUUGCGAGCUCUAGCAGACCAUGUUGUUGCUUUUAGUCUUCUUCUCUCUGUGAUCCAUUGCCUCUGCUUCCAUCGAUGUCGAGGACCUCGCUUUUGUCUUUGUUAUCAUUCUGCACCAGGAUGAAAGCAUUCUCCCGUU